CGGCCCACCAAGGCGACGAUCGGUAGCCGGACUGAGAGGUUGAACGGCCACAUUGGGACUGAGACACGGCCCAGACUCCUACGGGAGGCAGCAGUGGGGAAUAUUGCACAAUGGGGGAAACCCUGAUGCAGCGACGCCGCGUGGAGGAAGAAGGUCUUCGGAUUGUAAACUCCUGUUGUUGAGGAAGAUAAUGACGGUACUCAACAAGGAAGUGACGGCUAACUACGUGCCAGCAGCCGCGGUAAAACGUAGGUCACAAGCGUUGUCCGGAAUUACUGGGUGUAAAGGGAGCGCAGGCGGGAAGACAAGUUGGAAGUGAAAUCCAUGGGCUCAACCCAUGAACUGCUUUCAAAACUGUUUUUCUUGAGUAGUGCAGAGGUAGGCGGAGUUCCCGGUGUAGCGGUGGAAUGCGUAGAUAUCGGGAGGAACACCAGUGGCGAAGGCGGCCUACUGGGCACCAACUGACGCUGAGGCUCGAAAGUGUGGGUAGCAAACAGGAUUAGAUACCCUGGUAGUCCACACUGUAAACGAUGAUUACUAGGUGUUGGAGGAUUGACCCCUUCAGUGCCGCAGUUAACACAAUAAGUAAUCCACCUGGGGAGUACGACCGCAAGGUUGAAACUCAAAGGAAUUGACGGGGGCCCGCACAAGCAGUGGAGUAUGUGGUUUAAUUCGACGCAACGCGAAGAACCUUACCAAGUCUUGACAUCCUGCGACGGUGCUGGAAACAGUACUUUCCUUCGGGACGCAGAGACAGGUGGUGCAUGGUUGUCGUCAGCUCGUGUCGUGAGAUGUUGGGUUAAGUCCCGCAACGAGCGCAACCCUUAUGGUCAGUUACUACGCAAGAGGACUCUGGCCAGACUGCCGUUGACAAAACGGAGGAAGGUGGGGAUGACGUCAAAUCAUCAUGCCCUUUAUGACUUGGGCUACAUACGUACUACAAUGGCGUUAAACAAAGAGAAGCAAGACCGCGAGGUGGAGCAAAACUCAGAAACAACGUCCCAGUUCGGACUGCAGGCUGCAACUCGCCUGCACGAAGUCGGAAUUGCUAGUAAUCGCAGAUCAGCAUGCUGCGGUGAAUACGUUCCCGGGCCUUGUACACACCGCCCGUCACACCAUGAGAGCCGGGGGGACCCGAAGUCGGUAGUCUAACCGCAAGGAGGACGCCGCCGAAGGUAAAACUGGUGAUUGGGGUGAAGUCGUAACAAGGUAGCCGUACUAGUAC
rnacentral:rRNA from 1 species